AGAGUUUGAUCCUGGCUCAGAUUGAACGCUGGCGGCAUGCCUUACACAUGCAAGUCGAACGGCAGCACGGGGGCAACCCUGGUGGCGAGUGGCGAACGGGUGAGUAAUGCAUCGGAACGUGCCCGGUAGUGGGGGAUAGCCCGGCGAAAGCCGGAUUAAUACCGCAUACGCACUGAGGUGGAAAGCGGGGGACCUUCGGGCCUCGCGCUAUCGGAGCGGCCGAUGUCGGAUUAGCUAGUUGGUGGGGUAAAGGCCUACCAAGGCGACGAUCCGUACCUGGUCUGAGAGGACGACCAGGCACACUGGGACUGAGACACGGCCCAGACUCCUACGGGAGGCAGCAGUGGGGAAUUUUGGACAAUGGGCGCAAGCCUGAUCCAGCAAUGCCGCGUGUGUGAAGAAGGCCUUCGGGUUGUAAAGCACUUUUGUCCGGAAAGAAAUCUCCUGGGUUAAUACCUCGGGGGGAUGACGGUACCGGAAGAAUAAGCACCGGCUAACUACGUGCCAGCAGCCGCGGUAAUACGUAGGGUGCGAGCGUUAAUCGGAAUUACUGGGCGUAAAGCGUGCGCAGGCGGCUAUGCAAGACAGAUGUGAAAUCCCCGGGCUCAACCUGGGAACUGCCUUUGUGACUGCAAGGCUGGAGUGCGGCAGAGGGGGAUGGAAUUCCGCGUGUAGCAGUGAAAUGCGUAGAUAUGCGGAGGAACACCGA
rnacentral:rRNA from 1 species